AACGGAUCUCUUGGUUCCGGCAUCGAUGAAGAACGCAGCGAAAUGCGAUAAGUAAUGUGAAUUGCAGAAUUCAGUGAAUCAUCGAGUCUUUGAACGCACAUUGCGCCCCCUGGUAUUCCGGGGGGCAUGCCUGUCCGAGCGUCAUUGCUGCCCUCAAG
rnacentral:rRNA from 1 species